rnacentral:rRNA from 1 species
GUAGUCUCGCACAGAUGCAUAUCAAUAAGCGGAGGAAAAGAAACUAACAAGGAUUCCCCUAGUAACGGCGAGUGAAGCGGGAAGAGCUCAAAUUUGAAAUCUUAAAGGGUUUCCCUUUACGAAUUGUAGUUUAAAGAAGUGUUUUCUGUUGAGGUUUUGGUAAAAGUUCUUUGGAAUAGGACAUCAUAGAGGGUGAGAAUCCCGUAUUUGACCUUUACUUUCAGCUUUGUGAUACACUUUCAAAGAGUCGGAUUGUUUGGGAAUGCAGUCCAAAAUGGGUGGUAAAUUUCAUCUAAAGCUAAAUAUUGGCGAGAGACCGAUAGCGAACAAGUACCGUGAGGGAAAGAUGAAAAGAACUUUGAAAAGAGAGUUAAACAGUACGUGAAAUUGUCAAAAGGGAAGCGUUUGACACCAGUGUUGUUUUUCUGAAAAUCAAUUAAAGAACUGUUUAUGCUAAGUUGUUUAGACUUUAUCAGCUAUCUGUUUAGUUUUGAGCUUUUCUUUAAUGCACUUUUCAGUUAACAAGUCAACAUCAAUUUCUUUUGCUGUAAAAAAGCUUGAGGAAGGUGGCUUGAGAUUCGUCUUAAGUGUUUAUAGCCUCUUGCCUAUGCAGUCGGAGAGAUUGAGGUCUGCAGCGUAGAUCCUUCGGGGCUAAAUGCAUUUGUGCUAAGUUAUAACAUUUUAUAGACAACUUGUUGACUAUGAUUUGUCUUGUAGCUUACUCGCUUAUGUUAUUUUACCUACGCUUAGGAUGUUGAUCUGUAGUGCGUGCGC